CUGAUGUCAUCAUACUUCCCUCUUCUUCCCAACCAAUAGAAGAGAAUUAUACAAAUAAGAGGUAUAAUGGAUAUAUCGAUAACUAUCCACUGUGCGUGGUUGAAAUCUCCUAUUUUAAAACUAAAUAAUAUUUUAAAUUGCAUUCGAUCUAUAGAAAUUUUUUCAUGACAGACUGAUAAUUUAAACUGUAUUGAUACACACUAUUUCAAACUGAAACUUAUUUCAAACUGAAACUUAUUACAGAGUGUACAAGAUUACAGACUAAUCUGAGAAGGAUUACAAAGUGUAACUACUUAAAACAGUACAAUAACAAUUGAUAAAAAAUUAAUACACUCACAGUGUACAUAUGCAAUAACUGGAAAAGAGUUUCCAGUGUUGGGGCAAUAUGAAGGAAGAGAAUUCAGAUUGCAAUCACACAUGCUGAUAUAAAAAUAAGGAGAAGAGAUAGAAUCUGGAGGUGGAUGGAUAGGAAGCUAUGAGGUCAAGAUAGCUUUGAUGGAUGAUAACCUAUCUCCGAGAGCAAGAGAAAGAAGGGAGAGCAGAGAAGGAAGGGAGAGCAUAGAAGGAAAGGAGAGCAGAGAAGCUCUCAAAAAAUUGUUGAUCUCAGACCUGAGUUUCGACCUGCUGAGUGAAUGAGAGGGAGUUCCCUUUUAUAGAUGAGUUUGCUUCAUGAUGAAGCAAAGGGGUGAUAAGAUCGAAAGGGGAAGAGGACAGAUG
rnacentral:lncRNA from 1 species